GGCAGGUCCAGCACUGAGGGGCCCUUUGUGAAGCACGACGGCAGCUGAGCACUUUGCUUGCCGCAAUCUUGCAGCCCAAGCAGGAAAGGUGUGAUCAAAAGUACAGAGCAGGAGUCAGAAUUGGUGUUCUUCUCCAUGCAGAACAAUAGGGAAAAUGGUUUCCAAAACCAGGCAGCCAGCUUCUCUUCUGACAGUGGAAACAGGAGAUCGUUUAGCCUUCAGCCUGCUGUGCCUGAUGUGUGCCCAGUGUGCGCCACACCUGCAUCGCUGCACCCUAAGGGGUCACUGGAAUGAAGCAGUAUAAAAUAACUUUGGAAGAACAUGUUGUUAUCAUUUCUGCACAGCUGUAGUUUAAAGGAGAGAAAACUCCUAGCUUUCAAAACUGGCAGUCCAUGAUAUGGUGGAGGAGCCCAUUGAAGAAGGUGCACAUCCUGGUGUGGUCUCUACCCUGACCUCAUGAAAAAUCCUUGCAUUGCAAGUGAAUCCAAGAACUGACAACAGUUUCACUGAGCUGGACUAGAAAGGACCGACUGUGUCACAAUAGCUGCUAUGCACAAGUUUCUUACACUGAAAACUGAAUGACACUUCCAGAAAGAGACACUGCCUUUUUCAAGCAGACUGAUUCACUGUGAAUGAGGAGAGCUUCCCAGCACUGCAGGGCCAAGUAAGAUGUUCUUGAUCUGCAUCACCAUCAGAACAGAGAGGGGAAUUCUGACAGAUAGCUGCUGCACUUUUAUUUUUGAAAGGUAAGAGAUGUUGUGCCUAAAACUAUUUUAUCUCUGUUCACAUCCAUUUCUGUCUCAAUCUUGAAUGUGCUGCCUCAAAGCCCCUGGAUUUUUCAGUUCUGCUGUUGUGAAAAUGCCUUGUGAAGCAAGAUUAAAGCUUCUGGAACCUGCUGUCUUCAGCCUAUAUAAAUUGCAGAGGACACAGCUUUCAAUGUAUUACAGUGUUGGGAUCCAUGUGCUAUGGUGCUGUUCCCUCCAAAGAGUUUAUGACCCCUCCCCUGGACACCAUUUCAACAAAUGGUGUUUAUACCAUGUCUCUUCAAACUCAAGUGCAAUGCUGUGUCUUGUGCAGCCAUUUCAAGGUUCCCUACUACCUUGAUGAGCCCACCUUGAUGAGCUAGUUCCAUCAAAAAGUAUUACAGUGAACUGAAGGACUAUAUCUUUUUCCUUAAUAACCACGGCAGUGGUGGAAAAUGCAAAGGAAGAUCAACAACUUCUAUGGUUGCAAAUGGCCAUGGCAAUUAACAAGCUGGUUGAAAAACUGAACAUGUGGCAACAUGGAAAAAAAUACUAUUUUAACCCAUGCUAAAGAAAAAAAAUGUUUUAGAACUUGUGUCUUUGUGUUGUCCAGUUUUGUGAGCACUAAGUGAUUAUACGAUUCAGAAGAGCUGUUUGAAAUUGGCUAAAAGAGCUUUGUUUCUUGGAGUGACAUAAAUAUUUAUGAAGACAUAAAUAUAUACAACUCACACUUUACCUCAACAUUCUUGCUGCUGCUUCACCUCAAGGUUAGCUGUUCAAGCAAUGAAUGUUGGGGCCAAGAGUCACAAAUUCUCACCUUCUUUUAGAAGCGCUUAUUCUGAGACAUAUUUUGUCCUUGUUUAGUUUAAGCUCUGGGCUUGAACUCCUUGUUUAUAUGAACUAUAUUUCACAUUUUGUGGUUUUGACAUUCUUGUUGAAUGUCAUUUUCCAUGGUUCUUGCAUCUUCUCUGUGUGUGUGUGAACGGGGAUAUCACUUAACUGUCUUGCUAAGGUAGAAUGUGGUUUUUAAAAAUGACCAAGCCUUGUCACCAAGCUGCA
rnacentral:lncRNA from 1 species